rnacentral:lncRNA from 1 species
UUGGCCCUGCGCUCUCCCUCACAGCCGCGCUCUCCUCCACCUACAGCUCGCCCCAUCUCCUCCUCUCCCCAUGGCGGCUCCCCUCGGAUCCCUCCCUCUGUGGCUGCAGUCGCCCCCAAGCCCGCGGUCUUGCCGAGCUCGCCCAGCCCUUCCCCAUCUUCUCUCCACCUCCCUGAUGAUCAGCGCCCUUACCCCAUGGUGCCAUGGAUGCCGCCCUCCCCUAACGGCAUGCUCCCAGCGCCUCCUCCCCACGCUCGGCUUGGCAUGGAGGUCAACCAUGGGAUGCAUCACACCAACCUCACCGGCCAUACCCCCUGCUCCUCCCCACCGUCCGCAGCCCCAAUGUCAUCGCCGUGUUUAGUCAUGGUGAUUCCUAACCAUCUUGUAUUUCACUAAUUCUUCUAAUACGAGUAGAUUUUUGUUGAUGUUAUGUUGAUACGAGGUUACGUGUAUUUGUGUGCGAGUGUGACAGAGAGAAAGAUUCUAGGGUUUGGUUGGAAAAGAAAGCUAUAGCACGUCGACCACCAAGUGUUUGAUGAAUUAGAUGAAUCAACGCUUGUUGCGGUUAUUGUGAAGUUUCGGUUCAUAUGAGCUUUUAGGGUGAGCCAGUUUCUCGCUCUUAUUUUUGGUACUAUGCAUAAAGUGAUUAGAUGUAUUAUAUGCGAUGUUACAUGGCGAUGUUAGGGAAGGAUUUUCCUUUAUAUUUUUCUUAGGAUAGUUGAGCAUAGGUAUUGUUUGAUGUUAGAUUAGGAUUUAAAAUAUACAAGUGUGCGAGGAAUAGUGGUAAAUCAGUGGUUGUUGUUAAAAUACCGUGUUGUAUGUAUUGUUAUGAUUCUAUCCAUAAUUAUAAUGGAGUCGCGUCGUAUGAUUGAGUUAAUUGUUCUUGUGUUCACAAUCAGAAAUUUCCUUUGUGUACAGUUUUGAUUGCACAACUAAUUUGGUAAAGCAAACUACGUUUUCUGUAAAGAUGUUCUAUAUAAAAGUAGUAGGUAACCUCCCCAUCUUUCUUGUGUUAAAUUUUCAUGACCAUAGGUUUAGUAGUUUAAGAGUUAUGAUUUUCCCAAGUCCAGUUUCAGAAUCUGUCCAGAUUCUGUACUGAUUUCGAAAAUUGCUUUGUUUGACUAAAUUAAACUUAGAAUCAGACCUUAGUAAUUAUAGAAGAAUUGUAGUACCUUUUUUAAGGUUUCCAACAGAUUUUGGAUCACCCUUUUUUGUGAUCUAUAAAUUAAGUUACAGCUGUUUGAGUUAGUAUCUCUGAAUCUGUCCAAAUCUGUACAACAAUGUUUGUUUGUAUUAUACACAUUGAAUCACUUUGAGAUGAUUAUAAAUGAAUUAUAGAAAAUUCUAUUAGCUUUCUAAAAAGUUUAGGAUCACCUGAUUUGGAUUUCUGAAACUCCAGUUAUGGAUUUUUGAAGUGAAGAGCCGAAUUCUGUCUAAAUUUGGACAGAAUUAAAGUUUAGCACUGUUUGACCAUUCAAACUGUCGAAUCGUGUUGUGAUGAUAAUAUAAGAGUUAUAGAGGACUUUCUAAGCUUUCCAGAAAGUCCUAGUUUACUAUUUUUGGAUACAUAUUUGGUGAGUUAUGAAUAAAACAAUUAACCGUUGUGCUACUGUCUAAAAAUUCUGCAAGUAUUAAAUUGUUGGUUUGAAGUUACUAUUGUUUGGCUAAGUAAGUUUAGCUGAUUCUUAAUUGGUGAAGUGAUGCUUUGUUUUAGUAAUUAUCAUGUUCUGUAGUUGUUGAUUGAGUAAAUAUCAUAAAUGGAGAUUGGUCGCUUAAGUUAAUCAUCUUGAAUAAAUGUUCCUCAUUAUCCUUAUUAGUUGGAAGCAAAUAGCAUCAAUAGGUUUAUUCUAGUUGUAAUCCGAGAGCUAUAUAGUGGGAAGUGCAUUUAGGCGCUUAAAGUCUUUUGCUUCUAGGUUAUAGUCAAAUGAGAUUAUGUAAUAUUUGAUGAUGCUCUACUUGCUAGGACAAAUAGUGUGAUGUGUUAUUUAGCUCGUGCGCUAUGCUAGUUAAUCCGAUGAAAUAGUUUAAAAAGUUAGUUAAAGUAUUUAUAUUCAAAUUCGAAGUUGUAGAUGUCCAAGGCUAAUAAGUUUAAAUUAUGGUAAUCGUUUGGUGUAUGUUCUAGUUAAAGAGGAUCCAUACACGGUUCACGAUUGUUUGGUGUUUAAGUUAGGUUUGAUUGAUUAGAAGAUCAUGCUUGUUGUGUGAGUUAAUGUAUCUAGUGAUUACUUAUGCUUGCUUAUAAUGCUUUGCUAGAGAACUUCAUAUAAUAUUGUAGUUCAUACAUGUGCAUUGUACAUUCAAAUAGGUACGCUAGCUGAAAAAUCGUGCGAAGCGAGGGGUGUGGAUCAAAACAACCCACAAGACGAUGUCGGCUAAUGUGCCCGAAGAUGGAUGUACUAAGCAGAUGUCAGAAUAAAAGUUGAUCGUCAAGUGGCCUUCAUUUAACAACACACUUAGUGUUAUCCCAGGCAAGCCCCGGUGCAUUUGCCACCUCCUUGUUGUUUUAAAACUUUUAUCACUUAUAUGCUGCAUUAGGUGAUAGGAGUUGAGUGAUGAAAUAAUUGAUGCAUUACCAUUCCUUGGAAUUUGAUUAUCCUCCUUGCUACCUGUUUUAUAAAGAGAACUAAUGAGGCUUAGCUCUGCCUAGAGAAUUAAAACUUGUUUCUGUUUAAAAGAAUGUUGUGUAACACUGGGUAUGGGUUUGUUUUAUGAAAAAGGACUUGUAAUGGUGAGAGCAUCAUCUGUAGUGAUGAAUUCAUCAUUCAAGUAUGGUACCUCUGUCAGGUACAUGGUUUUGAGAAGGAAAAUAAUAAGAUGAGACCAGACGUUGAGCAGGAAAGGUCGCCCAUCUGUGUCGAUUAAGGACCGCACCGAAAGUAGGCUUGCUGAUUUAGGACCCUUUAACUGGCCACAUGCCUCGUCAUGGGUAAGCUUAGCCUCGGCCGGACCAAUACCAGAACAGCUCGCACGCACUGGGAGUGGAGAGAUGGCGGGAGUAACGUGUGCCCACCUGGCAAGUGGCUGGAUGGUGGGGUACUGUGCUCUCGGGUCGUGUGAACCCAUUCUGGUCUUGAGAAACCCGUGGGCGAGUUGACAUAUGCAAGGUUUAAGUGCUACAUAUGUCGUGUGGUUGGAGAUCCUCAGCUGAGUAUUAAUCGAUUCGGAUCGCCGUUACUUCUCGAAUAUGAAGACUGGAUCACUGCCCUACAUCGUAGAUAACAAGUGAAACUAAAGCUGCUAAAAUGAAGCUAGUGUAGGACAAGUGAAUGCUCUAGAUUAGGCAAAUCUAGAUUAAGGAAAAAUACUUAACUUGUGAAGUAAAAUUUUGGCAUAAGGAUCCACUACUAGUAAGCUUUUCUGCAAAAAGGAGUCUUUGAAAUUUGAUGAGCUUUACCUUGAUUCCCAACAAACCAGUAUACCCUUGAGAGUCUUUUCUUUAGUCGGGUAAGUCUUGCUGAGUAAUUGCAUAGUCAGGGUUUUAUUCCCUAUUGUUUUUCAGGUUAUAAGUUUGUUCUGUUGUGGAUGGUGCUAAGUGCCGGUGGGCUCGUCCUUCUUAUAUAUGUAUAUCCCAUCUUUAGCUUCUUUAUUGAGGAUUGUCACUUAAGCUAGCAUGUAUUUUAAAACUUAUAAAUGUUUUAUACAUUCAAAUUGUAAUCUUUUGUAUCAAUUUCUCUUGUAAUCACUCCGAUGAUAUAUUGUAAUAUGGCUAUAACUUGUAAAUGUUGUAACUUGUAAUCAUUUUGUAAUAAA